GACGAACGCUGGCGGCGUGCUUAACACAUGCAAGUCGAACGGCGAAGCGCCUUCCUUUUUGGCGGGUGUGGAUGAGUGGCGAACGGGUGAGUAACACGUGAGUAACCUGCUCCCUUCUUCUGGAUAACCGCAUGAAAGUGUGGCUAAUACGGGAUACUCUGGGUCUGUCGCAUGAUGGGUCUGGGAAAGAUUUUGUUUCGGUGUGGGAUGGGCUCGCGGCGUAUCAGCUUGUUGGUGGGGUAAAGGCCUACCAAGGCGGCGGCGGGUAGCCGGCCUGAGAGGAUGGUGAGGCACACGGGAACUGAGACACGGGGCAGAGCCCGACGGGAGGCAGCGGGGGGGAAUAUUGGACAAUGGGCGCAAGGCUGAUCCAGCCAUACAGCGUGGGUGAAGAAGGCCUUCGGGUUGUAAAGGCGUUUUGUUGGGAAAGAAAAGCAGCAGGUUAAUACCCCGCUGUUCUGAGGGUACCCAAAGAAUAAGCACCGGCUAACUUAGUG
rnacentral:rRNA from 1 species